rnacentral:rRNA from 1 species
GACGAACGCUGGCGGCGUGCCUAAUACAUGCAAGUCGAACGCAGUGGGGACGGGUGAGUAACACGUGGGUAACCUCCCAUCAGAGGGGAUAACACUUGGAAACAGGUGCUAAACCGAUACUGAUGGAUGGACCCGUGGGGCAUUAGCUAGUUGGUGAGGUAACGGCUCACCAAGGCCACGAUGCAUAGGCGACCUGAGAGGCUGCUCGGCGACACGGUGUCAGAGACACGGGCAAGACUCCUACGGGAGGCAGCAGUAGGGAAUCUUUGGCAAUGGACGAAAGUCUGACCGAGCAACGCCGCGUGAGUGAAGAAGGUUUUAGGAUCGUAAAACUCUGUUGUUAGAGAAGCGGUAUCUAACCAGAAAGCCACGGCUAACUACGUGCCAGCAGCCGCGGUAAUUC